rnacentral:rRNA from 1 species
UACGAAGGGGGCUAGCGUUGCUCGGAAUCACUGGGCGUAAAGCGCACGUAGGCGGCUUGGUAUGUCGGGUGUGAAAUCCCCGGGCUCAACCUGGGAACUGCAUCCGAAACUGCCUUGCUAGAGUAUGGGAGAGGGAAGUGGAAUUUCCGGUGUAGCGGUGAAAUGCGUAGAUAUCGGAAGGAACAUCAGUGGCGAAGGCGACUUCCUGGACCAAUACUGACGCUCAGGUGCGAAAGCGUGGGGAGCAAACAGGG